rnacentral:rRNA from 1 species
AGAGCUUGCUUUAAAGAAGUUAGCGGCGGACGGGUGAGUAACACGUGGGCAACCUGCCUGUAAGACUGGGAUAACUUCGGGAAACCGGAGCUAAUACCGGAUAAUAUAUAGUACCUCCUGGUACUAUAUUGAAAGUUGGUUUCGGCUAACACUUACAGAUGGGCCCGCGGCGCAUUAGCUAGUUGGUGAGGUAACGGCUCACCAAGGCAAAGAUGCGUAGCCGACCUGAGAGGGUGAUCGGCCACACUGGGACUGANACACGGCCCAGACUCCUACGGGAGGCAGCAGUAGGGAAUCUUCCACAAUGGACGAAAGUCUGACGGANCAACGCCGCGUGAGUGAUGAAGGUUUUCNGAUCGUANNACUCUGUUGUUAGGGAAGAACNNNUAUCGNAGUAACUGCNNGNACCUUGACGGUACCUAACCAGANAGCCACGGCUAACUACNUGCNNNNNGCCGCGGUAAUACGUAGGUGGCAAGCGUUGUCCGGAAUUAUUGNGCGUAAAGCGCGCGCANGCGGNUCCUUAAGUCUGAUGUGAAAGCCCACGGCUCANCCGUGNAGGGUCAUUGGAAACUGGGGAAC